rnacentral:rRNA from 1 species
AACGAACGCUGGCGGCGUGCCUAACACAUGCAAGUCGAGCGCGAACGUCCCUUCGGGGGCAAGUAGAGCGGCGGACGGGUGAGUAAUACAUGGAUAAUCUUCCCUCGUGCUCGGGAUAACACUGCGAAAGCGGUGCUAAUACCGGAUAAGACCACGUCACGGCAGGUGAUGCGGGAAAAGGUGGCUUUUUCUUCGGAUAAGGCUAUCACGUGAGGAUGAGUCCAUGGCCUAUCAGCUUGUUGGCGAGGUAAGAGCUCACCAAGGCGAUGACGGGUAGCUGGUCUGAGAGGACGACCAGCCACACUGGGACUGAGACACGGGCCCAGACUCCUACGGGAGGCUG